rnacentral:rRNA from 1 species
UGGGGAAUCUUGCGCAAUGGGCGAAAGCCUGACGCAGCGACGCCGCGUGCGGGAAGAAGGCCUUCGGGUUGUAAACCGCUUUCAGGAGGGACGAAGCCACUCGGGUGAAUAGCCCAGAGGGUGACGGUACCUCCAGAAGAAGCCCCGGCUAACUAACGUGCCAGCAGCCGCGGUAAUACGUAGGGGGCAAGCGUUGUCCGGAUUUAUUGGGCGUAAAGAGCGUGUAGGCGGCCAGGUAGGUCCGUUGUGAAAACUAGAGGCUCAACCUCUAGACGUCGAUGGAAACCAUCUGGCUAGAGUCCGGAAGAGGAGAGUGGAAUUCCUGGUGUAGCGGUGAAAUGCGCAGAUAUCAGGAAGAACACCCGUGGCGAAGGCGGCUCUCUGGGACGGUACUGACGCUGAGACGCGAAAGCGUGGGGAGCGAACAGGAUUAGAUACCCUGGUAGUCCACGCCGUAAACGAUGAGUGCUAGGUGUGGGGGGUGUCGACCCUCCUCCGUGCCGAAGCUAACG